rnacentral:tRNA from 1 species
GUCGGCGUAGCUCAGCUGGUUAGAGCAUCUCACUCAUAAAGAGAAGGUCGGAGGUUCAAAUCCUCCCGUCGACA